rnacentral:rRNA from 1 species
CAAUAGCGUAUAUUAAAGUUGUUGCGGUUAAAAAGCUCGUAGUUGGAUUUCUGCUGAGAACGACCGGUCCGCCCUCUGGGUGUGUAUCUGGCUCUUUCUUGGCAUCUUCUUGGUGAACGUUGCUGCACUUGACUGUGUGGAGCGCUACCCAGGACUUUUACUUUGAGGAAAUUAGAGUGUUUCAAGCAGGCAUACGCCUUGAAUACAUUAGCAUGGAAUAAUAAGAUAGGACCUCGGUUCUAUUUUGUUGGUUUCUAGAGCUGAGGUAAUGAUUAAUAGGGAUAGUUGGGGGCAUUCGUAUUUAACCGUCAGAGGUGAAAUUCUUGGAUUUGUUAAAGACGGACUACUGCGAAAGCAUUUGCCAAGGAUGUUUNCAUUG